UCCUUGAUGGUCCAGGGGUUAAGACCCUAUGCUUCCAAUGCAGGGGGCCCAGGUUCAAUCCCUGGUCAGGGAA